rnacentral:rRNA from 1 species
CAAUAGCGUAUAUUAAAGUUGUUGUGGUUGAGAAGCUCGUAGUUGGAUUUCUGCCGAGGACGACCGGUCCGCCCUUUGGGUGAGUAUCUGGCUCGGCCUGGGCAUCUUCUUGGAGAACGUAGCUGCAGCCUGGAAUAAUAGGAUAGGACCUCGGUUCGGGUUUGUUUGUACCUGGAGCUGAGGUAACGAUUAAUAGGGAUAGUUGGGGGGAAUGCGUAUUAGACUGUCAGAGGUGAAAUUCUUUGAUCUGUUAAAGACGGGCUACUGCGAAAGCAUUUGCCAAGGGUGUUUUCAUUGA